GACGAACGCUGGCGGCGUGCCUAACACAUGCAAGUCAAGGAGAAAGACUGGUUUCGGCCGGUCAAGUAAACUGGCGGACGGGUGAGUAACGCGUAGGCGACCUGCCCUUGUGUUUGGAAUAACCCCGAGAAAUUGGGGCUAAUACCGAAUGACGCAUUGAGUAUGCAUGUACUUGAUGUUAAAGGUGCUGCAAGGUACCGCACAGGGAUGGGCCUGCGUUCCAUUAGUUAGAUGGUAGGGUAACGGCCUACCAUGACUGCGAUGGAUAGCUGAUCUGAGAGGGUGAUCAGCCACACUGGGACUGAGAUACGGCCCAGACUCCUACGGGAGGCAGCAGUGAGGAAUAUUGCGCAAUGGACGAAAGUCUGACGCAGCAACGCCGCGUGGGGGAUGAAGCACUAUGGUGUGUAAACCUCUGUAGACAGGGAAGAACGGUAUGUAUUCGAAAGGGUACGUAUGUGACGGUACCUGUAAAGUAAGCUCCGGCUAACUCCGUGCCAGCAGCCGCGGUAAUACGGGGGGAGCGAGCGUUGUCCGGAAUUACUGGGCGUAAAGGGCGUGUAGGCGGCUUGACAAGUCAGAUGUGAAGGCCCGCGGCUUAACCGCGGAAAUGCAUUUGAAACUGUUGAGCUUGAGUGCGAGAGAGGGUAGUGGAAUUCCCAGUGUAGCGGUGAAAUGCGUAGAUAUUGGGAAGAACACCAGUAGCGAAAGGCGGCUACCUGGCUCGUAACUGACGCUAAAGCGCGAAAGCGUGGGGAGCAAACAGGA
rnacentral:rRNA from 1 species